rnacentral:misc_RNA from 1 species
UUUCCGUAGGUGAACCUGCGGAAGGAUCAUUAGUGAAUUGAAUAUGUUGGCGGACCUAUUCGGAGUCCCUCGCGUCAAAUCAUAUCCAUAACACCUCUGAACUGUAGGUCUGUCUUGCAAACUAAAGUGAUUAGAGCGCCUGCCCAGUUUAAACAAACAUUAAACUAACAAACGCAGGCUUAUUAUAACCAAAUAAAACUUUCAACAACGGAUCUCUUGGCUCUC